rnacentral:rRNA from 1 species
CAGUAUACUUUUCUAUAAGUUGAUUAAGCUGGAUUAUUAGUAGAUAAGUUCUUGAAAUUCAAAGAAUUUGGCGGCACCUUAAUCUUAUUAGAGGAACCUGUUUUAUAAACGAUAAACCACGAAAAAUCUUACUUACUUUAAAUAGUUUGUAUACCGUCAUUAUUAGAUGAUUUUUAAAGAAAAUAAUCAUUUAAAUUAGCAAAUAGUUAAAUAUAUUAGAUCAAGGUGCAGUUCAUAGGUAAGAAAAAAUGGGUUACAAUAAAUUAAUUUAUACGGAAGAUUUCUUAAAAUAAAAUGGCAAGGCGGAUUUAAUUGUAUAUAAAUUUUAAUAAGUUUAAUAGAAAUUAGCUCUGAGGUGUGU